UUUCUCGCGUCUGCAGAAGUUUCCCUUAAAAAAUGGGCCACGCCUUGGGAAACGCAUGCGUAUGGGAACUGCAGGGUCCCGGGCUCGCGCAUGCGUGCUAUUUUGGUACUGCGUGCUACCACGAGGAAGGGGGUGCCUGAAAGUCCGCCAGGAAACGUGAUGAGGCGCCAGUUUGCAGCUACUUCUACCGGCCCGGGCCCCUGACUGAGGUGGAGGCAGUCCCCUCACUGCCCUUCACUAGGAAGUGCCUGGCACAUGAGACCUAGCAUGGACGUUACGGAAAGGACACUAAGAAAAUUCACAGCAUGUCAGAGCUGGAAGAGAACAAUGAGGUCGCCCAGGGUGGACUGCCCCAGCUCACAUGGUCAAUGAACGAGGAGAGCCCAUUUCCAACAGCUAGAGGUGUUCCCAGAGGCAGUGGGAGGCUACUUGAGGAGUCGAGGAGAGGAUUCUGGGCUCUAGGAUGGGGCGAUUCUGCCUAUGUCCCCUAAUUCACUCCUCUGGCCUCGUUCUGGGGGGAUGGGGUCCCUCUCUAGUCCCCCGUUCCUCCCAUUAAAGCUGGCCACAGGCUAGGCCUCGGAAGGCUUCUCCAAAGCUAAAACCAGGGGGCUGGCCUUUGAAGAUGCAGGGGAGGAGAUGAGUCAGCCAGUAGGAAAGGACCACGGGGAGGAAGAGGAGGUGACUCAGUUCUGAGCCUGGGCCCUAGGUCAAGGCAGGGCCACCUCUGAAGUAGCUGUGACUUGGUGCAGAAGGAGCUGGAGGCUGUCAGGGGAUGCCAAGCCCAGCUCUCCAUGGAGAGCAGCUGAGGACCUCAGUUUCCUCAUCCGUAAAGGGUUAGGACUGUGUUCUCUGGGGUUCAAUGGAACAGCAUCCAGACAAGAGUCCAGGACAGGGAAUGGCUUCGAGAUGAGGCCUUACACGUGUUGAAAAGUUGGAUGAAUGGAGAAUGUUUCCCUUGGAGAAGAGACAACUUGGAUGGGAGGGAAAUAAAUGCCUGAGUAUUUGGA